rnacentral:rRNA from 1 species
GCAAUGCCGCGUGCAGGAUGAAGGCCUUCGGGUUGUAAACUGCUUUUGUACGGAACGAAACGGCGAGCUCUAAUACAGUUUGCUAAUGACGGUACCGUAAGAAUAAGCACCGGCUAACUACGUGCCAGCAGCCGCGGUAAUACGUAGGGUGCGAGCGUUAAUCGGAAUUACUGGGCGUAAAGCGUGCGCAGGCGGUGAUGUAAGACAGAUGUGAAAUCCCCGGGCUCAACCUGGGACCUGCAUUUGUGACUGCAUCGCUAGAGUACGGCAGAGGGGGAUGGAAUUCCGCGUGUAGCAGUGAAAUGCGUAGAUAUGCGGAGGAACACCGAUGGCGAAGGCAAUCCCCUGGGCCUGUACUGACGCUCAUGCACGAAAGCGUGGGGAGCAAACAGGAUUAAAUACCCUGGUAGUCCACGCCCUAAACGAUGUCAACUGGUUGUUGGGUCUUCACUGACUCACUAACGAAGCUAACG